GAUGAACGCUGGCGGCGUGCCUAAUACAUGCAAGUCGAGCGAACAGAUAAGGAGCUUGCUCCUUUGACGUUAGCGGCGGACGGGUGAGUAACACGUGGGUAACCUACCUAUAAGACUGGAAUAACUCCGGGAAACCGGGGCUAAUGCCGGAUAACAUUUAGAACCGCAAGGUUCUAAAGUGAAAGAUGGUUUUGCUAUCACUUAUAGAUGGACCCGCGCCGUAUUAGCUAGUUGGUAAGGUAACGGCUUACCAAGGCAACGAUACGUAGCCGACCUGAGAGGGUGAGAGGACGCAGUGGAAAGACGACACGGUCCGGCGUCCUCCGGGAGGACGAAGGAGGGAUUCGUCCGCGAGGUGAGAAAUACUAACAGAGCAACGCAGGAGGAUGAAUAAAGUUCUACGGAUCGUAGAACUCUUUAACUAAGGAAAAACAAAUGUGUAAGUAACUGUGCACGUCUUGACGGGACGUAAUAAGAGGACCACAGAAAACUACGUG
rnacentral:rRNA from 1 species